rnacentral:lncRNA from 1 species
AUGAAUAGAAAGUCACCAUUUGAAAAGCAUUGCAAUAAGAAGUAAAUGUGCUGCCGCAGUGGCGCCAAGGCCUACCAACUUCAGAAGUUGAUCUGCUGCAAAUGCGGCCACACUGACAAGAGCAAGAGAAAGUAUAACUUGAGUGCCAGGGCUGAAAGAUGAAAUGCCACCAGUACUGGUCAAAUGAAGCACUUAAAAAUUGUACAAUUCAGGAUGAAUUCUGUGAAGGAACAACACCUAAACCCAAGAAGGCAGCUGUUGCAGCAUCCAGUUUAG